rnacentral:rRNA from 1 species
CCUACGGGAGGCAGCAGUGGGGAAUAUUGGACAAUGGGCGCAAGCCUGAUCCAGCCAUGCCGCGUGGGUGAAGAAGGCCUUCGGGUUGUAAAGCCCUUUUGUUGGGAAAGCGGUACCCAAAGAAUAAGCACCGGCUAACUUCGUGCCAGCAGCCGCGGUAAUACGAAGGGUGCAAGCGUUACUCGGAAUUACUGGGCGUAAAGCGUGCGUAGGUGGUUUGUUAAGUCUGAUGUGAAAGCCCUGGGCUCAACCUGGGAAUUGCAUUGGAUACUGGCAGGCUAGAGUGCGGUAGAGGAUGGCGGAAUUCCCGGUGUAGCAGUGAAAUGCGUAGAGAUCGGGAGGAACAUCCGUGGCGAAGGCGGCCAUCUGGACCAGACUGACACUGAGGCACGAAAGCGUGGGGAGCAAACAGGAUUAGAUACCCUUGUAGUC